rnacentral:rRNA from 1 species
AUGGCACGCUGGGCCAUUGCCAUCCACGGCGGCGCGGGCGUGGACCCCAACCUGCCGGAGCACCGCCAGGAGGAGGCCAAGCGGGUGCUGGCCCGGUGCCUGCAGGUCGGCGUGGACCUGCUCCGGGCUGGCGCCACGGCGCUGGACGUCGUGGAGGCCGUGGUGCGCGAGCUGGAGACGGACCCCUGCUUCAACUCCGGCCGGGGCUCCGCGCUCACCCGCGCCGGCACCGUCGAGAUGGAAGCCAGCAUCAUGGACGGCAACGGCCGCCGCUGCGGCGCCGUCUCGGGCGUCUCUACAGUUAGAAACCCGGUCUCCCUCGCCCGGCGCGUCAUGGACAAGUCCCCCCACUCCUACCUCGCCUUCGACGGCGCCGAGGAUUUCGCCCGCGAGCUGUAUGGCAUGCAGCUCUUGGAAAGGGUCCUUGAGGUGCACUUGACACGUGUAGAUGACGUGUGGGGCACCGUGGUGCGGUACACCAUGAGUGCACAGCUGCAUGCAGCCAGCUUGCACGGGAAGGAGCUUCCCUUCAAGACACGGAUUUUCAUUUGGGUAAACCUGCAUGCAUAUAGAUAUAGCUUAUCUAUGAUAGCUUUUCGUGCUCCCGCCGAAAAUACAGUAAGACACAGCUUGCUCAGCACAGCAAGUUAA